CGUACACUCCUACGGGAGGCAGCAGUGGGGAAUAUUGGACAAUGGGCGCAAGCCUGAUCCAGCCAUGCCGCGUGAGUGAUGAAGGCCCUAGGGUUGUAAAGCUCUUUCACCGGUGAAGAUAAUGACGGUAACCGGAGAAGAAGCCCCGGCUAACUUCGUGCCAGCAGCCGCGGUAAUACGAAGGGGGCUAGCGUUGUUCGGAUUUACUGGGCGUAAAGCGCACGUAGGCGGACUAUUAAGUCAGGGGUGAAAUCCCGGGGCUCAACCCCGGAACUGCCUUUGAUACUGGUAGUCUUGAGUUCGAGAGAGGUGGGUGGAAUUCCGAGUGUAGAGGUGAAAUUCGUAGAUAUUCGGAGGAACACCAGUGGCGAAGGCGGCUCACUGGCUCGAUACUGAGGCUGAGGUGCGAAAGCGUGGGGAGCAAACAGGAUUAGAUACCCCUGUAGUCCCAUGA
rnacentral:rRNA from 1 species